AAUAUUGGACAAUGGGGGCAACCCUGAUCCAGCCAUGCCGCGUGUGUGAAGAAGGUCUUCGGAUUGUAAAGCACUUUAAGUUGGGAGGAAGGGCAGUAAGUUAAUGCCUUUCUGUUUUGACGUUACCGACAGAAUAAGCACCGGCUAACUUCGUGCCAGCAGCCGCGGUAAUACGAAGGGUGCAAGCGUUAAUCGGAAUUACUGGGCGUAAAGCGCGCGUAGGUGGUUCAGUAAGAUGGGUGUGAAAUCCCCGGGCUUAACCUGGGAACUGCUUUCAUAACUGCUGAGCUAGAGUACGGUAGAGGGUAGUGGAAUUUCCUGUGUAGCGGUGAAAUGCGUAGAUAUAGGAAGGAACACCAGUGGCGAAGGCAGCCCCCUGGGAUAAUACUGACGCUCAGACACGAAAGCGUGGGGAGCAAAC
rnacentral:rRNA from 1 species